UCCCUGGUGGCUCAGACGGUAACAGCGUCUGCCUACAAUGCAGGAGACCGGGGUUCAAUCCCUGAGUUGGGAA
rnacentral:tRNA from 1 species